GCGGGUGUAACUCAGUGGUAGAGUGUCAGCUUCCCAAGCUGAAGGUCGCGGGUUCGAAUCCCGUCGCCCGCU
rnacentral:tRNA from 1 species